rnacentral:rRNA from 1 species
GACGAGCGCUGGCGGCGUGCUUAACACAUGCAAGUCGAACGGAAAGGCCCUGCUUUUGUGGGGUGCUCGAGUGGCGAACGGGUGAGUAACACGUGAGUAACCUGCCCUUGACUUUGGGAUAACUUCAGGAAACUGGGGUUAAUACCGGAUAGGAGCUCCUGCUGCAUGGUGGGGGUUGGAAAGUUUCGGCGGUUGGGGAUGGACUCGCGGCUUAUCAGCUUGUUGGUGGGGUAGUGGCUUACCAAGGCUUUGACGGGUAGCCGGCCUGAGAGGGUGACCGGCCACAUUGGGACUGAGAGACGGCCCAGACUCCUACGGGAGGCAGCAGUGGGGAAUAUUGCACAAUGGGCGGAAGCCUGAUGCAGCAACGCCGCGUGCGGGAUGACGGCCUUCGGGUUGUAAACCGCUUUCGCCUGUGACGAAGCGUGAGUGACGGUAAUGGGUAAAGAAGCACCGGCUAACUACGUG